AUGAAAAUUUUAGAAAGAGGAGGAAGAGACGAUUUCAAUGGUUAUUUUGAUUUGAAGUUGGAUCAUCGUCGUAGAGAAGCACUCACCAGUGGCGUCGUUCACCAAAGAGAGAGAAGAGCUUAUGUUUUCUCAUGUCAUGGAAGUUCAAGAGGCAUAAUUUUGAGAACCCCAACGAUCAGCCAAC